rnacentral:lncRNA from 1 species
GAGCAGUGCCCUGCCUGGAGAGGCAGUUCCCCACUGCUGGAGAGUUGGAGGAAAGAAUGUGGAUGGAAUUUGGCAUCUGAAGCUAAGUGAUUCUAGGGUACUUCCCAACUCCUAAGGAAAAUGGGACAUGCCCUCCUGGCUAAGGAGGUUGAAGGGGGGCCAGGGCUCUGUCCCCUGCCCUCUCCUGGCUGCAAGCUUGUCUGGGUUUGCCCUGGGCCUGGGAUCCUGGGAGAGGACCAGCAAUCUCACUCAUCUGGGGCUGUUUCCAGGCCGAGGUGCCUUUCUAGAUCCUGUGAUCCUCAGUGAGGACUGAGGUUUGAGAUAAGACACCUGGUUACCAGGAAGCAAGCGAGCAUCCUCCUUCCAGAGUGCCGGCAUGCAGCAGGUACUAAUAAGACUUAAAGAAUUUGUUCAAGGGCCAGGUGCAGUGGUUCAUACCUGUAAUCCCAGCACUUUGGGAGCCCAAGGUAGGAGAAUCACUUGAGUCCAGGAGUUUGAGACCAGCCUGGACAAAAUAGUGAGACCCUAUCUCUACAAGUAAUCAAAAAUUAGCCAGGCGUGGUAGUGCACACCUGCAGUCCCAGCUACUCAGGAAGCUGAGGCAGGAGAAUUGUGUGAGCCCAGGAAACAGAGGCUGUAAUGAGCUAUGAUCACACCACAGCACUCAGCUUGAGUGACAGAGUGAGCUCCUGUUUCAAAAAAUAAGUGUUCAGCCAGGCAUGGUGGUACACAACUGUAGUCCCAGCUACUCAGGAGGCUGAGGCAGGAAGACUGCUUGAGCCCAGGAGUUCAAAGCCAGCCUGGGCAACAUAGUAAGACCCCCCCAACUCUUAAAAAAAAAAAAACACACACACACACACAACCUAUUAAAGGUGAACAGGGAACAGACCAUGAGUAUAGGUAAUUUGUCAUGUUUGGGGCCCUUUGAUGCCAAAACCUGGAUGCAUUUAAGAAUCCCCUGGCCAAGCUUGCUCCAUCACACUGGAGAAUUGAAUUCCCAAAGGGGAGGAAGGAAUAAAAGGUUUGGGGCACUAUGCAAAGUGCUUUAUGUAUCUUAUCUCAUU